AGGCCACUGCUAUUGGAAUGCGACUAAGCCAUGCGAGUCAGGGGGCUCUUUGGAGCACCGGCGUACGGCUCAGUGACAUGUGGGUAACCUACCCUCAGGUGGGAGAUAACCUCGGGAAACUGAGGCUAAUAUCCCAUAGAUAAAAGAUACUGGAAUGUUUUUUUAUCGAAGACUCUUGUGCCUGAGGAUGGGCCUGCGCCCGAUUAGGUUGUUGGUGAGGUAAUGGCUCACCAAGCCUACGAUCGGUACGGGUCGUGAGAGCGAUAGCCCGGAGAUGGGGACUGAGACAAGGCCCCAGGCCCUACGGGGCGCAGCAGGCGCGAAAUCUCUCCAAUGUGUGAAAACAUGAGAGGGGUAUUCGAAGUGCCCUUGCUUUGCAAGGGAUUUUCUUUGGUCCAAGACGCCGAAGGAAUAAGAGCUGGGUAAGACCGGUGCCAGCCACCGCGGUAACACCGGCAGCUCGAGUGGUGGCCACUAUUAUUGGGCCUAAAGCGUUCGUAGCCGGGCAGGUAAGUGCUCUGGUAAAUCCCAUAACUUAAUUAUGGGGCUUCAGAACAUACUGCUUGCCUUGAGACCGGGAGAGGCUGGAGGUACUUUCGGGGUAGGGGUNAAAUCCUAUAAUCCCGAAGGGACCACCGGUGGCGAANGCGUCCAGCCANAANCGGGUCUGACGGUGAGGGACGAAACCCAGGGGAGCGAGUCGGNAUNAGAUANCCGGGUAGUCCUGGGCGUAAAUGAUGUGGGCUAGNUGCAAAGCUACCUAAGUGGUAGCUUGNUGCCGAUGGGNAGCCGUUAAGCCCACCGCNUGGGGAGUACGGUCGCAAGGCUGAAACUUAAAGGAAUUGGCGGGUGAGCACCACAAGGGGUGGAGGCUGCGGUUUAAUUGGAUUCAACGCCGGGAAACUCACCGGGGGCGACAGCAGUAUGAAGGUCAGGCUGAUGACCUUACCAGACAAGCUGAGAGGAGGUGCAUGGCCGUCGUCAGCUCGUACCGUGAGGCGUCCUGUUAACCCCAGCCCCCCGAGCGAGACCCUCGCCCACAGUUGCCGGCAGAUCCUUUUGGAUGCUGGGGACUCUGUGGGGACCGCUGGUGCUAAAUCAGAGGAAGGAGAGGACGACGGUAGGUCAGUAUGCCCCAAAUCUCCCGGGCUACACGCGGCCUACAAUGGGCGAAACAAUUGGUUCCAACCCCGAAAUGGGAAGGUAAUCCCCUAAAUUCGCUCUAAGUUCGGAUCGAGGGCUGUAACUCGCCCUCGUGAAGCUGAAAUCCCUAGUAAUCGCGUGUCAUCAUCACGCGAUGAAUGUGUCCCUGCUCGUUGCACACACCGCCCGUCAAGCCACCUGAGUGAGGUUCAGAUGAGGCCCUGUCCGUCGGGCAAGGUCGAAUCUGAGUUUCGCAAGGGGGGCU
rnacentral:rRNA from 1 species